AAAGCAAUAAUUUGUAAGGAGUUGGAAAGUUGCUUACGUUUGCCGCUAGGGGCGCUGUUCCAACUGCAUACUAAUUUGAGUUA
rnacentral:pre_miRNA from 1 species